rfam:Enterococcus avium ATCC 14025 genomic scaffold acpMO-supercont1.5, whole genome shotgun sequence.
CAACGAUCAUGGCGACAUGAUGGUGAAUCAUGAGAAGUCAGCCGAGGUCAUAGUAGUAACGACACUGACCGUUACGAAGGAC